UUUUUUUGUUUUGUUUUUGUUUUGUUUUGUUUUUUUAAAGCUCUAUUCUCUGGUAGUUGUUUGUGUUGAGAUCCAUAUAAAUGAAACAUCUUUGGUUUGGAGUAUGGAAGUUGAGACAAUCCCAGAUGAAUCAACUGAACAUGUUUUUAGCAGUCUAGGAGAUUUCCUGAGCUGCUGAAUAUGGAAGAGACUGUCAUUCAGAGUGGCAAAUCUGGAACAUACUGGGGAACAGACAAAAUCAACAGAGCUGGCCCCUCUGUGAAACAGCUAUCUGCAAGCAAGAUGCCAUUUCUUUCCAAAAGCAACUAAUAGUAAAGCAUAAUGUUUUGCAACUUGUUGCUGGAAUUGGAAAGCGAGUCCAGGGGAUAUGUUCACAUUAUUUUCAUUUUCCAUGAUGGUGGAACUCAGGAUAAAUCAAGAGAGAUUUCAUAACAUUGCCCCUUCCAGAAGAGUUCUAAUUUCCAAGGAAUCUUUUGCUGUGUAACUUAGUAAGUUACAGAAGAUUCCUCUGACUGAAGAGGGGCGUGAGGACGUUGUGCCAAGCUCCACGCUGCUUGUUCCUCGCUUUUUACAAGGUGGAGGAGUAAAACAGGAGAAAGGGUAGGAAUGGACUUCAAGUAAGAAGGAUGCAGCAGGAAUGUAAUGUGCCGUACAGAUGACAAAGAAGUCUCAAGGAAACAGAAAAGGCAUCUACGCUCCUUUAGAUUGGCUUUUUUCCUAGAAGCCUUAAAGGCUUAGACUUUUCCUUUGCCCUGAAACUUCCAAUAAAUAUCAUGCAGUUGAACUGAAGGAUCCAAUCCAAAACAUUCAAACUUUUCUCUCGUAAUACUCUGAAACAUUUUGCAAACUACUGACCAGACCCUGGGAGAUGGGAUUGAGAAAUGAUAUGUGUAUAUGAUACCUAUCCAUACACAUAUAGAUAGCAGACAGUAGUGAUGAGUGUUAGUAUUUAAAAAGUUCAAACUUCCUCUGGCAUUUACUACAAAAGGAAACAAUUCCAUCAUAAGCUAACAUGGAUCAAAUACAGCAAACUAAGCUCUUGUUAGCUGGCUGCACUUAUUGAACUAAUGUGGAGAUACUGAUAGCUACCAAUGGUAUAUCCAUAGUAACUGAUGCUGUAAAAGAACAGACAUACAACAGUAAAUUUCCAACUGUUUUUUUCCCUGCUGGAGAUAGGAAUGCCUAUUAAUGUGCAAAGAUUCAAUAAUCACCAUCUUCUCAAACACAUACCAAGUCACAACCCACUCCGGAAUGAAAUAAUGCAGUUUUUUAGAAAGCACAUUGCUUCACUAAAGAUGCAGGGCAAUGGAGGAUCAAAGUCUGUUCAAUUUUUAGAAAAGAAAAUGACAAAGAAUAAUAAACCCACAUGGGAAUACAAGACAAAAGCAGUCAUUAAAAAAAACUGUUUGGGAAUUGGUAGGUUUUUUUAUUAGAGAUAAUUCCAGAGCUAUUUCAGAAAAUCAUUCCCAAUUGCAGUUCUUGUUUGUUCUGCAGAGAAUGGAAACGGUCUCACUAUAAAAGAGGGCUUGAUUCCUUCAGAAAAUGACCAUAGAUGUACACUGGAAAGCAUACUGCAAUUCUGUCCCAGGGGCAUUAAAAAUAGCCAGAGAGCAUGUACCACCAAGCAACAAUAAUUUGCUGCUACUAAAAUAGUUUACAGUAUUUAAAAAAAGCUUAAUCUAGAGAUAGUUCUCUUGGCAGCACAAAUCUUUCUGGUGCCAAGAGAAAAAUAAUUUGCAUCCCUGGUGUCAAUGGUAAUACUACCAUGUUGCUUCAACUCUCCAGGAGAUGCAGCCAGCUCAGCACUGCUUUCAGAAAGAAAAUCUCUGAAAGUAACAGGGAGAAGAAAAGAAAUUGACAUUGCAAUUGCAUCAGUAAUGAAUCUGACAUCAGCAGGUGAUGGAUCAUUCUUUAUCCCAAGCAUUUAUCUAACGAAACAUAAUCCAGGUGCUUGGUUUUUUGGGUCUUUUUUUUAAAUUUCAAGCUGUUGUUAAAAGCCCUCAAAGGGUUAAGUUUCCAAGAGUAUGGUUGCCUUGGUACUAUGCUUUCAGCUGUGAUCAGCAAUCCCUAACAAAAACAGUACUUAAGUGGAUUUUUUUAAAGUAUUCCCCACUGUCAAUGUGUAAUUAAUUAGCCUUCCCCUCCCCCCUCAGCUGAACUGAGAUUCACAUAAUCAGACCCUUGGAGACCCUCCUCUUUUCCUCCUAUCAAAGUCAGACAGUGACUAGGAACUGAAUUAUUCAUUCAGCUGUAGGUGUAACAUAUCCAUUUAAAUGAUUUAAAGUUUAAGCAGUCUUGCUGCUGUUCAGCAACAAAAAAGUUUAAAGUGUAGAACCCAAGAGGAAUUUGGAAAGUUCUUUUUUCUUAAACCACUUGUUUGAUUACAUCAACAGCACACAUUUUUGUCAGCUGAACCUACUUGAGUGAGAAAGGAGGGCUUGCGGGAAUGGCGCACACAAACAAGAGCACCCAUCACUCAUUAAGGCUAUAUCAUGAUUAUAAGCACUAAUUAAAGUUUUUGUUCCAAUAUG